rnacentral:rRNA from 1 species
UACGUAGGGCGCAAGCGUUGUCCGGAAUUAUUGGGCGUAAAGAGCUCGUAGGCGGUUUGUCACGUCGGGUGUGAAAGCCCACAGCUUAACUGUGGGUCUGCAUUCGAUACGGGCAGACUAGAGGCAGGUAGGGGAGAACGGAAUUCCCGGUGUAGCGGUGAAAUGCGCAGAUAUCAGGAGGAACACCGGUGGCGAAGGCGGGUCUCUGGGCCGUAACUGACGCUGAGGAGCGAAAGCGUGGGGAGCAAACAGG